rnacentral:rRNA from 1 species
UUGAAAUCUGGCCCCCUCGGGGUCCGAGUUGUAAUUUGUAGAAGAUGCUUCGGGUGUGGCCCCGGUCUAAGUUCCUUGGAACAGGACGUCACAGAGGGUGAGAAUCCCGUAUGUGACCGGUGGCCUCCCCCGUGUGAAGCUCUUUCGACGAGUCGAGUUGUUUGGGAAUGCAGCUCAAAAUGGGUGGUAAAUUUCAUCUAAAGCUAAAUAUUGGCCAGAGACCGAUAGCGCACAAGUAGAGUGAUCGAAAGAUGAAAAGCACUUUGGAAAGAGGGUUAAACAGUACGUGAAAUUGUUGAAAGGGAAGCGCUUGCAACCAGACUUGCGCGCGGUCGAUCAUCCGGGGUUCUCCCCGGUGCACUCGGCCGUGCGCAGGCCAGCAUCGGUUUGGGCGGCCGGACAAAGGCCUCGGGAAUGUGGCUCCUUCGGGAGUGUUAUAGCCCGAGGUGCAAUGCGGCCAGCCCGGACCGAGGACCGCGCUUCGGCUAGGAUGCUGGCGUAAUGGUUGUAAGCGGCCCGUCUUGAAACACGGACCAAGGAGUCUAACAUCUAUGCGAGUGUUUGGGUGGCAAACCCAUCCGCGUAAUGAAAGUGAACGGAGGUGAGAACCCUUAAGGGCGCAUCAUCGACCGAUCCUGAUGUCUUCGGAUGGAUUUGAGUAAGAGCAUAGCUGUUGGGACCCGAAAGAUGGUGAACUAUGCCUGAAUAGGGUGAAGCCAGAGGAAACUCUGGUGGAGGCUCGCAGCGGUUCUGACGUGCAAAUCGAUCGUCAAAUUUGG